UUUUAUGGCGGGUGGCGUAUGGGGAAGCCGUAAGGCUUGCCGGACCCUUUGCCCGGUCGACCAACCCUGUACGUCAUCCGCCGCCCGU
rnacentral:antisense_RNA from 1 species